UAUUCCGGGACACCGGACCGCCUAGAGC
rnacentral:sRNA from 1 species